rnacentral:lncRNA from 1 species
AUUAGAGAAAGACCGUAUUGCAUUGUAAUCCUAAACUGAAUAGGUUCUCCACCUCUUCUGAUUAGCUUGUGUAACCAUGACAUACUGCUAGGUGUCACUCAUGGUUUGUGGAAGCCCUAAACGUGUAUAAUCACUAAAGGGAGAAUUGAAAGUAAGUUUCAAUUCACAAUCGAUUUGAAAGUGUUCUAAUCGCCCACUGCCUCGCUAAAAGGAACCUAAUGGAUCGUACACCGUAUAAGGCAGAGAUUGAAGAAACAAUGGAGAUGAGUAAGAAUAAUUAAAUGGUUUAAUUAUUUAUGGCAAGGAUUAAUUAAUAUGUUAAUUAAUCAAACGAAUCAAGUUCGUUAAAAGACCACGGGUUAGUUUUGGGCCUCAAGGCCCAAUGGGCUUCGAACGUCAAGCCCAUUGACCUAAGUUGUAUGACAACUUAAUGACAAAUAAUUCACAAAGGCCUUAAAAGCCCAAUGAAACCCUAUGGCCGGCCAUUUAGUUAAAGGAGUGGGUUUUGAACUUAAUUACAAGUUUACCACUCAAAUGAAUGUAGGUAUAAAUAUGACUUUAUAGCCAAAAUUCAUUUAGGGUUUUCUUUUGGAGAAAAGAUGAGAACACAAGCUCUCUUUUCUCUCUAAGAGGCCGGCCACCCUAGAGGAAUUUAGCUAGCAAUCUCACUUCCUCUAGGUCACUCAUUUCUUCAUCAAUCAUUCCUUGGUGUGGAAACUUAGAGGUUCUCAACUUUGAGAACUUGGAGAAACCAAUUCUUCCAUCCAAAUCCAUGGAGCUAAGAAGCAAGGAAUGAAGGCCCUAUCUCUUGGGUGAUUAUCCUUUGCUUAUGCAAAGAGGAAUCAACAAAGGUAUAAAUUUCUCAACUCACUUUGUUUUGAGUUGAGUCUUGGUUCACCUAACUACUAGGCUUUGAAUUUCAUGGUUAAUGUUUUGUUUUUAAGUGCAUACAAGCAUGAUUCCGCCUUUAAUUUGUUAAUUGCAUGCUAUAGAUGUUGCUUAAAUGAACAUGUUUUUCACAAACUUUCCUUCAACAUCCACCCACUACACCCAUUACAUCCACUCAUUACCACAACACUCACCCACUACACUCAUUACAUCCACUCAUUACAACUCCAUACACUCUUCUCCCUAGCCUAUAAAUACAUGUACCCUU